rnacentral:lncRNA from 1 species
AUGCCAAUAAAAGGAUAUUUUGUUAAAAAUAUGCAUGUUCAUGCAACAGAAUCAUCACUGUUAAAGAUAUCUACUUCCUAUGUCACAGAAGCUUCUGAACAAGAAACAGCAGCAGCUGAAUCAAAAACAGUAACAACCAACCCAGAAACUGGGUUCAGUCCCGUUCCAGAAGAAAGUUCGUUAUAUGUAGCAGCAACCAGCAUUUCCCUUGUGAUCAUCUUGAUUUGUAUAAUUGUUUUUCUUUGGUUUAAAUGGAAAUUGUCUAAGGGAAGUUCAGCUGAAAUUAAUCCUGUCCCCUCCAGUGAAGCUGUGGUGACCUUAAAAAAUACCAAGUUAUGAGAACCAAUGAGGAAAGAAGAAAUGAAAGUCCUCUCAGAUGAUGGCUAUUUAAAGGGCUCUUCCACAAGAGCAGUAUAUUCAAAAAAUAAAUUCUCGAAACUAGAGAGAUCCA